rnacentral:rRNA from 1 species
AACGAACGCUGGCGGCAUGCCUAACACAUGCAAGUCGAACGAGACCUUCGGGUCUAGUGGCGCACGGGUGCGUAACGCGUGGGAACCUUCCCUUAGGUUCGGAAUAACUCCCCGCAAGGGGUGCUAAUACCGGAUAAUGUCUUCGGACCAAAGAUUUAUUGCCUCUGGAUGGGCCCGCGUUGGAUUAGCUAGUUGGUAGGGUAAAAGCCUACCAAGGCGACGAUCCAUAGCUGGUCUGAGAAGAUGAUCAGCCACACUGGGACUGAGACACGGCCCAGACUCCUACGGGUGGCAGCAGUGGGGAAUGUUGGACGAUGGGCGAAUGCCUGAUCCAGCAAUGCCGCGUGAGUGAUGAAGGCCUUAGGGUUGUAAAGCUCUUUUACCCGGGAUGAUAAUGACAGUACCGGGAGAAUAAGCUCCGGCUAACUCCGUG